CUACUCCCUCCCACACACCCAGGAGCUCCAGCCUGUUAUGGGAUGGGCAUCCUACCAGGAACCAAGGAUGCUAAGCUGAAGACAACCAUCAAGGCAUUUUUUCCCAAAAAGCACAGAAGGAGAUUCAAUCAUCAAAUGAGAGGCCUCACUCACCUCUGCAUAUUGGCCCUUAUCCUUUGAAAGAGAAUAAAGUAACAGCUGCUAUUCUUUCAGCCAAGAAAGGUAAGGGAGGUAUAUUCAUUAAUCACAUCUCCAUGUAGGUCCUUCCCUUAAAGGAGGAUCGAAGUCCCACACAGAGUUACUUGACCACCUCUGUUCCAGGUACCCUAGCUUGUAAAACAAAUGAGACCACCAGGAACAAGGCAGUACACUGUCAUCAGGGCAACAGCAGGACAGAUGUGUGCAAUCUGUUCACACACAAUGGCCUUAAUACUGGUGGCAUCAGGAAAAUGGAGGAAGAACUCUGGAAGACAAAACCCCAAAUGAGCAGGGCAUCACUUUCCCACCCUCACCUAAACUCUGUGACCAUUUCCUUUCCCCAACCUCAAGAAAUAUGAGAGACGAACCUUUUUACACCAGAGACUAAACAGAGAUGUCAGAGUGUCUGGAGCAAGGUUAAAGUACUAAAUCACUUUGUAGAAUGGGGCACUUUGGCAGGAACUGCCCUAAACGUUUGGGAAGGAGGAAGUUUACAUUGAGCCUUAUCACUUUAAAAUAUAUGGGAGAAAAGGGCACUGGGGUGAUGGGGAGACGGGAAGUUACUUUGGUAUGUAGGUAAUUGUGGGAGUGUGUUACGACAGCCAUGCAUUCAUCUAAAUACAUAUUUGAGAAACACAUUCCAGAGCAAGUGGUAAAGAUAAUGAUCUUGACUAGUUUCUUUUUCUUCAUUUGAUCUGGGCUUAGCUAAACUAGCCCAAUUCAAGACAUCAUGACAUCUUUAUUAUGAAAACAACCUGCCUUCAGAAUCAAGACCCCCCUGAAAUCCAAAGAAAUACUGUAUUGUACUAUUGUUAUAAGUACCAUGAUGGCUCUUUCACUUACAAUGACACAUUUGUGUGUGUGUUUUGUACAUUUUGAGUUAACUUUUAUGUGGUCCAAAGACUCACUCGCUAAGUCCUAUCUUUGAUUGAUGGUAAUGGUCAUUUAAUUCCAUGACAAUUGUAUAAUGCAGAUAUUGUUGAUACUAUAUUAUAGGUGAAGAAACAAGAGACCAGAGAAGUUAAAUAACUUGCCCGGCAUUGCACAGCUAAUAAAUGACAGUGGCAGGAUUUGAACCCACAUUUCCAAGAGAGUAUUCUUACUGCUAUACCUCUCUUUUUAUGGACAAGCCAGGAGUCACCCAUGUUUCAUUUGCUUGUUAUCCAUGCUGACUUUCUCUAACUUUCUUGCAUUUGAGUUAAUUGCUAAGAUGAGCCACUUGGCUUGAAGAUAAUUCUGUGGAGGAAUAUAAUUGUGAAAAAUCUCUGUCCCAUUACUCAGUAUUCCCUAAACCUACUUUAAGAUCAAGCUGAUUAACACUGGUCACCAGAAGGACUAGCUAGAGAGCUGAUAAUAUCAGUGCAAAUUCUUCACCAUUCCUAGAAAAACAGCCCAGAGCAUGUUUAAUGGAGGGUGGAGAGCCGUGGAUAUUUGCUGGCUGCUGUGAGCACUUGAGUCUUAUUUUCUUUUCUACAAGUCUACCCAUAAAUAACCACUUAUCAAGCAAGCAAUCAUUUCUCCAAACCUAUUUCUGUUCAACAAUGAGUUAAGCAUCAGAAGGAGACUGAAUAAGAUGCUUUCUAGAAAGUAAAAGAUUAAAACUUUGCUUCAAACACCUGAGUAUUUUAGGCAGUAAUCACAUGGAAGAGAGAGGAAAGGAAGGGAGUUUCUUGAGCAAAUAGGUAAUUAUAAAGACAGUCUUUUGGCAAUUGAUUUGUCACAACAAAUAUGCACCAAAUUCAUGGGAUUUUAGGGGGCAGAGAGGGAAUGUUUUGGAAAUGUGUAUGUGGUACUCUGUAAGUCUAUAUGGUAAAUUAGAUCUCUUAUGGUAUAAUAAUUAAUAUGACUUCUUGGAUAAAUAAAAUAUACAUUCAGUCAAGUAUUAAAGGACAACAUAAAAUGUGCCAAGUUCCCAAGUUUCCAUCAUUGGCAUGGAUUUUAUUCUCCUGUCUGCUGAAAAUCUGUGACUUGGACAUUAACAUGUAUCAGUGUACUCCCCUCAACAAUUCCCAUCUCUGGUUUUGAAACACAAAAUCUAGAGAAGUAGUCUUCUGUUUUGAAUUGUCUUCCCACUUAUCCCCAUGAUGUUUCAUUGUUCUUCCAGGGCCACUGGAACAGGUCCAGAAGGAAAGAAAAGAGUGAUGGCAACUGCUGAUUCAAGAAGAUUGUUCUGUUUCAGUUUUUAUUUUAUUUUAGAUGUACCCCUUCUCCACAAUGAGUUUCUCAUACACGCAUCUAAUGAAAGACGCCUGUUCUCAACCCUCCUAGAAUUUCAAGAUGGGCAAACUUACAAGGAAAGCAAGGAUGAGUGCUAAUAUGUACCAUAUUCAUGUGAAUAUAAGUUUUUUUAAUAAGAAAAUCAAACUCUAAAAAUACAAUAUACUUCAUAAUUACAGAUUGAAAAAUGGGGCCGUGUGUCCUAGGCAGCUGCCCACUGCUGAGUCCAGGGUACACUGCCAUCCUAGGAAGAGAGUGAGGAGGAGGGUGAAAAAACUCACCCAGGAAAGGCAGUGAGGGGUGGGGAGGGAGCACAAAGAAAGUCACUUCAAAUCUCUCUCUAGAACUAUAUUGUUUUUCUGUGCAAAAAUAUUUUCUUCUGGCCCCUUUAUAGACUAGCUUGUAAAAACACUGCAAAGUGCUAUGAUUCUAAGGGUUCUGGAACCGAAGACAAAUCAUUAAAAGUUAGAUUCCAAA